rnacentral:rRNA from 1 species
AACUUUUACAAUGCGGGAAACCGUGAUAAGGGAACUCCGAGUGCCCGUAAAAUCGGGCUGUCCAUCUGUGUAAAAAACAGGUGAAGAAAGGCCGGCAAGACCGGUGCCAGCCGCCGCGGUAAUACCGGCGGCUCGAGUGGUGGCCACUAUUACUGGGCUUAAAGCGUUCGUAGCUGGUCUGUUAAGUCUCUGGGGAAAUCUACUGGCUUAACCAAUAGGCGUCUCAGGGAUACUGGCAGACUAGGGACCGGGAGAGGUGAGAGGUACUCCAGGGGUAGGAGUGAAAUCCUGUAAUCCUUGGGGGACCACCUGUGGCGAAGGCGUCUCACCAGAACGGCUCCGACAGUGAGGGACGAAAGCUGGGGGAGCAAACCGGAUUAGAUACCCGGGUAG